AUGGCAUACGAUAUGCUCGAUGCGAUUAACAAUGGGAAGGAUUCCUGGAAAGUGAAGGUCAGAGUAAUUAGUCUAUGGGACGUCGUUAACCUCAAUAACAAUGAACUAAUUAGCCUUGACAUGACACUGCUUGAUGAACAGGGCACUAUGAUACAUGCCAAGGUAAUGAAACAUAUGGUUAACAAUUUCAGGCCAUUGAUCCAAGAAGGUUUAGUAUACAUGAUGGAGAAUUUUAAGGUUACACCUGCCAUGAAUUUCAAUACAGUCGAAGGCGACAAGAUUAUUAACUUCUUGCACACAACAAAAAUUCAAGAGAUUAAGGACUUAAAAAUAUCAGAAUAG
rnacentral:rRNA from 1 species